CACGUAGGGGACGAGCGUUGUCCGGAUUCAUUGGGCGUAAAGCGCGCGUAGGCGGCUCGGAAAGUCGGUCGUGAAAUGCCGGGGCUCAACCCCGGGACUGCGUCCGAUACUCCCGAGCUGAGGCAGGUAGGGGAGAUCGGAAUUCCUGGUGUAGCGGUGAAAUGCGCAGAUAUCAGGAGGAACACCGGUGGCGAAGGCGGAUCUCUGGGCCUUGCCUGACGCUGAGGCGCGAAAGCGUGGGGAGCGAACAGGA
rnacentral:rRNA from 1 species